rnacentral:rRNA from 1 species
AUGGCGGCCACGGCCAAGGCCGUCGCCGUGGCGCCCAUCCACGACCCCCCGGCCUAUAAAUCCCGCCGGCGAGCUCCCCUCGUCGAAAACCCUAGACCUAUCCCCUCCCCUCGCGCCCCCAACUCCUCCUCUCGCUCUCCCCGCGGCGGGUCGAGACGCGCCCGUCGCCUCUGCCUCGACCUCGUCACCGGUCGCCACUGCCCGACGCCGUUCGUCGCUUCCCCGACGCGUCCUCGACGGCGCCACCGAGCCUCCCCCGAGCCUCCCCCGAGCCCACUAACCUACUGGUCGACCACGCUACCCCGAGACUGCUGCCGAUACCUCUGUGAUCGACUACAUCGACGACGACCCCUCCUUCUUGCCAGAGCAGCCAGGAGCCAGAGGAUCCCGAUGAUGAUUCUACGUGGAGUUCGACUUCGAGGAAUAGUUAGGAGGCCCAGGUAG